AUAUAUAUAUAAUUAUUUUUUUAUUAUAAUAUGUAACAAAUAUUCAAGAUUUAGGCAAUUGAUAUUUAUAAUUAGGGGCAAAUUUCAAAGGGAUCACACUGUCACAAUACCCUAAGCAACCUUGAUCAACAUAUUCAAAAUUUGAACUGGACAUGAACAUGCAUACAACAAACAAAGAUGUCUUCUAUCAUGAACAAAGUAAUACGAAUUUUACAAUGGAUUUAGAUCCAAAAGUUCCAAUUAAUUCUAUUGACACUGGAUAGUGCAUAUGAUAGCCUUCAGUUGACAUGACUCUUGGAUUUAGGAAGAUUGGUGUUUACACAUAAUUUGGAUAACAUCUUUUGUAUUUGAAAUCAGAAAAUUCAACUUUAAGGACAGUUAGUACAGAGAAACAGAACUAAAGGAUACACAGAUAUGUAACACAACAACCUAUAGAGGACAGAGAAAAUUUUGUUUUAUUAUUAAAUCAUACUUUUUUAAA